UACGAAGGGGGCUAGCGUUGCUCGGAAUGACUGGGCGUAAAGGGCGCGUAGGCGGUGCGGUAAGUCUGUAGUGAAAUCUCUGGGCUCAACUCAGAGUCUGCUGCAGAAACUGCCGUGCUUGAGUGUGGGAGAGGUGAGUGGAAUUCCCAGUGUAGCGGUGAAAUGCGUAGAUAUCGGGAGGAACACCUGUGGCGAAAGCGGCUCACUGGACCACAACUGACGCUGAGGCGCGAAAGCUAGGGGAGCAAACAGG
rnacentral:rRNA from 1 species